rnacentral:rRNA from 1 species
AUCUGGAUCGGGGACCGGGCAUGGUAGGCAGUUUGACUGGGGCGGUCUCCUCCCAAAGAGUAACGGAGGAGUUCGAAGGUUACCUAGGUCCGGUCGGAAAUCGGACUGAUAGUACAAUGGCACAAGGUAGCUUAACUGCGAGACCGACAAGUCGAGCAGGUGCGAAAGCAGGACAUAGUGAUCCGGUGGUUCUGAAUGGAAGGGCCAUCGCUCAACGGAUAAAAGGUACUCCGGGGAUAACAGGCUGAUUCCGCCCAAGAGUUCAUAUCGACGGCGGAGUUUGGCACCUCGAUGUCGGCUCAUCACAUCCUGGGGCUGUAGUCGGUCCCAAGGGUAUGGCUGUUCG